GAUGAACGCUGGCGGCGUGCCUAAUACAUGCAAGUCGAGCGAACAGACGAGGAGCUUGCUCCUCUGACGUUAGCGGCGGACGGGUUAGUAACACGUGGAUAACCUACCUAUAAGACUGGGAUAACUUCGGGAAACCGGAGCUAAUACCGGAUAAUAUAUUGAACCGCAUGGUUCAAUAGUGAAAGACGGUUUUGCUGUCACUUAUAGAUGGAUCCGCGCCGCAUUAGCUAGUUGGUAAGGUAACGGCUUACCAAGGCAACGAUGCGUAGCCGACCUGAGAGGGUGAUCGGCCACACUGGAACUGAGACACGGUCCAGACUCCUACGGGAGGCAGCAGUAGGGAAUCUUCCGCAAUGGGCGAAGGCCUGACGGAGCAACGCCGCGUGAGUGAUGAAGGUCUUCGGAUCGUAAAACUCUGUUAUUAGGGAAGAACAAAUGUGUAAGUAACUAUGCACGUCUUGACGGUACCUAAUCAGAAAGCCACGGCUAACUACGUG
rnacentral:rRNA from 1 species